rnacentral:lncRNA from 1 species
CUCCAGGAUCCUACUGGGGGCCUUAAGCAUAAAGCAGAGAAAUAUCCUCCCAAAGUGUCCCGAGCCUUUGUGCCAACCGGGAUCCCUGGCAGGAGCACGGAGCCUCCCCAGCCUCCUCUUGGGGAAAAGAAGCCACAGAUGGGCAUACGGGCAGAAGAUGGUCUUGGGUAGUGAUGGAGGCUGGGAGAAGGGAGGGAAAGGAAGGAGAGAGCCAGGAAGGAGGGAGCACCAAUGAGACAAGAACUCUGAUUGGAUGCUUUCAUUUUGGCAAGGAAAAGACUGCAAGCAAUCCACUGUAGGUUAACCAUGUACACUUCUUCUAAACCUAUCUCCAUAUUGGUCACGCUGAACAAGAAAUAUCAGAUGAAAAGGGAAAAACUAGACAAGAAAGAAACAAAUAAACAAACAUCCAAAAAGAGCUAAGUCUUGAAAACAAGGAAGGAAUUCAAAGAUGGAACUGUGAGGAGUGUGUACCUUCCACGUGUGCAUUACAGCCACGGCAAAAGCACAGAGGUGGAAGAUUAAAAUUAUAUAUGAGGAAAAGCAAGAAGCUUGCCUGAGAUGUGAACUGUGGGAAGGAGAGCGCUUCCCAAGAGUCUACUUAAUCUUAGACCAUCCAACCGAAAGAGAUCAUCUUGUCCAAACUUACCGGAGAUUUCCCCCUCUGAGUGCCUGUGUUCAUCUGAUAGUCUCCUGAGGACUCCUGGAACAAAGAACUUUUUCCCCCUCAAGGCAAUCUCUUCAUUGAUAACACAUUCUGGAGCCUGAAGAAAGGACAUUUCAGCCGCUCUUCAAGGUCUUCCCCACUACUUCAGA